UACAGAGGGUGCAAGCGUUAAUCGGAAUGACUGGGCGUAAAGGGCGAGUAGGCGGUUUUAUAGGUGUGGUGUGAAAGACAUGGGCUUAACCCGUGGGUGUCACCGCAAACGGUAAGACUAGAGAGCAGUAGAGGGGAGUGGAAUUUCCGGAGGAGCGGUGAAAUGCGUAGAUCUCGGAAGGAACACCAGUGGCGAAGGCGACUCCCUGGACUGCGACUGACGCUGAGGCGCGAAGGCGUGGGGAGCAAACAGG
rnacentral:rRNA from 1 species